rnacentral:rRNA from 1 species
AUUGAACGCUGGCGGCGUGCUUAACACAUGCAAGUCGAUCGGUAACAGGUGUAGCAAUACAUGCUGACGAGAGGCGGACGGGUGAGGAACGCUUGGGAAUCUGCCUAUCAGCGGGGGACAACCCGGGGAAACUCGGGCUAAUACCGCAUACGCUCUACGGAGGAAAGCCGGGGACCGCAAGGCCUGGCACUGAUAGAUGAGCCCAAGUCGGAUUAGCUAGUUGGCGGGGUAACGGCCCACCAAGGCGACGAUCCGUAGCUGGUCUGAGAGGACGAGCAGCCACACCGGAACUGAGACACGGUCCGGACUCCUACGUGAGGCAGCAGUGGGGAAUAUUGGACAAUGGGGGAAACCCUGAUCCAGCGACGCCGCGUGGGUGAAGAAGGCCUGCGGGUUGUAAAGCCCUUUCGGUAGGGAAGAAAGCUCUUGCUCUAACAAAGCAGGAGUUUGACUUAACCUACAUAAGAAGCACCGGCUAACUCUGUGCCAGCCGCGGCAGUAACAC